GCGCCUGUAGCUCAGUGGAUUAGAGUGCCUGGCUACGAACCAGUUGGUCGGGGGUUCGACUCCCUCCAGGCGCACCA
rnacentral:tRNA from 1 species